CCCACCCCUCUAUUUUCCCUAGCCGCCAUUUCUUCUCUCCCUGGCUUCUCCCCCACGCGCAGCAGGCAAAGCGCAGGGAGCAAGGCCAGCCAUGGCGCGGCACCCUCCCUGCUUCUCCUGGCGAGCGGCUGGGACAGGGGGCCUUCUUCCCCAACGCCACCCCUGCUCCAUCCAACGCGCGGCAUCUCCUCUGGUCCGAGCUCGAGCAGCGAGCUCGCCGGCAUCCAUGGCGUGGCACCUCUGCACCUUCACCUCCAGCAGCCAUGGCGCUCUUCCCUGUUCUCCAGCGCCCUUCCUCCCUCCCUUUUUCUGUCCAUGGCGAGCAGGAGCUUUUCCCUCCCAUGGCGAGCAGCUUUCCUGCCCAUGGCGCGACGCCGCUGCUCUCUUUUUUUUUCCAUCUCGCUGUGCUCUCUUGGCUGCCAGCAGCCAUGGCGUGGACUCCUUUUUUUUUCCUGGCGCAGCAGCAAGCUCCCCCAUGGCAGGCGCCCAGGCAAGCUUCCCCAAUGGCGCCAGCAGCAGGGAUCUCUUCCCCCUCCCCAUGGCGCCCAGAAAAUUCCAGCCGGCUCCCCCUUCUUCUUCCUCCAGCCAGCAGCUCGUCCACCUCUCUCCCAUGGCAUUUCCCCCUGCGAGCAGCGCUUUCUCCAUUGUCUUCAACCUCCGGUCGCUCCCAUCUCGCUGCAGCACCCUGUCCAUUUUUUUUUCACCCAGCCGAUUCCCUCUACUGUCCAAGGCGCGGGCGCUAUUUUUCCCAUGGCCGAGCAGGCCCCUUGCAGCGAGCUUCUCCUUUUCCCAGCGCUGCGCAGCUCCUCCAUGGUGAAACGCCGUUGUUCCUGCAGCCCCGACACCUCCCCUUGCUUCCUCGCUGCCAGCGCUGCGCGCGUGCCACGUGCUCGGCAAACUGUCCAAGUGGGGUGUUGCGCAGCGAACAGCACGUCGGGAUGCCCGCCGGGUGUUUGCUGUUUUGCGCAGCCCCGUCGUCAUCGUCGUUCGCCCCGAGGAACCCCGUGUUGGCGUGGAGAAGAAGGCAAGCCGCUCGACGCUCGUCGAUGUUUGUAGCGAUGCACAAAUUGGAAUCACCGUCGUUCUUGCAAACGUCGAUUGGGUUUGUUUAUGGACCGAGAGAUGAUGAUCGGGCUAGUGAUGUGGUGCCAACCACAAGAUGCAGUCGGUGGACGACCCAAGGAAGGAUUGACUUAACCAGUGGAUGCUCGCCAAGCGAGUGCCACCCAGCAAACACUGCCUAAGUGUUAAAUUAAGGACCGAGAGAUGAUGAUCGGGCUAGUGAUGUGGUGCCAACCACAAGAUGCAGUCGGUGGACGACCCAAGGAAGGAUGGACUUAACCAGUGGAUGCUCGCCAAGCGAGUGCCACCCAGCAAACACUGCCUAAGUGUUAAAUUAAGGUACUCUUUAGGAUGAUUGGUUGCUGGUGUGACUUGGCCUUCAUCCCUGCCACCGGGAUAGAUGGUCGAGAGGGUUAUUGCUUCCGCAGGAGAGGACCAGGAGGAGUAGCGUGGCCAGGCUUCGCCAUGUUACUCGGUUUUCUCCGUUAGUUAUUUCCGCUGCAUUAAAAUUUAUGGUUAUUAUUUCUGAAACUCCGAUAAUGUAAUCAC
rnacentral:misc_RNA from 1 species